rnacentral:rRNA from 1 species
UACGGAGGGUGCAAGCGUUAAUCGGAAUUACUGGGCGUAAAGCGUGCGUAGGCGGCUGGUUAAGUCAGAUGUGAAAGCCCCGGGCUUAACCUGGGAACUGCAUUUGAAACUGGCCAGCUAGAGUUGAGUAGAGGGGAGUGGAAUUUCAGGUGUAGCGGUGAAAUGCGUAGAUAUCUGAAGGAACACCAGUGGCGAAGGCGACUCCCUGGACUCAAACUGACGCUGAGGCGCGAAAGCGUGGGUAGCAAACAGG